GUAAUUCUGCUGUGGAGCGAUUUUGCGAUAUCCUUAUUAUCGAUUGGGAUGAAUUUUAUCGAAUGAAUUAUUUCUUCCGGACCGUUUAAAAACAUCUCCGGCAAUGUUAGGGCAGUCGAGCAUUGGGAGAUGUUUUUCUCUGAUAUGGUAAAUCGAAAUUUCGCCCGGACGGUGCUACCUUCGAGAACACGUCGAAUUGGAUGGGGUCAGACCUUUUUGAAAUUUAUUGCCUUAUACGUAGCGACUAAACCGCAAAUUUUCCGAAAUCAUAUGUAUGGUGGUGUUCCUAUUUCGACCGUGUGGACGUGGAAUUAAGAGCUUUUCACGAAUUUGCGUAGUAGCAGGCCAUAGGAAUUUACACAUCACUAGCAGCUAGAUAAGUACCGAUUAGAAGUUUUAUUUUUGGUGUUGUUUUUGCGGGAUCCUGACAUUAUUGUUUACGAAAGCAAUGAACCUCACUGAAUAGGUGUUUCCGAAUAGUUUUGUCUUCGCCUUUGUAUAAGCGUUUAGUUUGUAGUAUAAAUGAAGAAUAAAUCCGUUGAACAGGCGUAUUUUGGGGAAGCAACAUUCAACGUUUUUAUUCUUGUUCCUUUGUCGUAUUCCACCAUACUAUUUUCGCGUAUCUGUAUUGUUUAGUAGUUUCCUUUCAGGUUUAGGCUAGUCGGUGCACAAUAAACUACUUGGCGUCCUUGUUAUCAUUUUUUUGCACAUAUUUAUCCUUAUCUGUUGGAUUUAACCCACGGCCCUUACGAGCAAGCACAUUACUUGCCGUACACAAAAAAAGGACAGAAGUGUUAUUCCUAAUGUUUUAGAAGUAAAUGUCUCUGAUAGAUAUUUUUUUUUUAUUUUUAUUGAAUUUAAUGUAAUAACUUCUUUAAUCUAUUUGUAUAUUCUCUUUUUUCCCUUCUGUAAAUCUCGUCACUCACUUCUCCAUCUAUCAUUCUUUUGUGCAAUUCUCUUAGCUGACUGCUUUCAUUCUUAACUUCUCUUGUUACCCAACUUUUUUUUACUUUCUGUUUUACAUUUAUCCUAUUUUUAGGACAUGACACGUCAAGACACCAAGUCAAUUUCUUCAUAAAGGCCUCAAAUGCAUUAUUUGUAGUAAGUCCACUUACACACGUCCAAUCAAUAUCACUUAGUUGUGUCCUUAGUUCUUGUGAGUUCUCAUCUGUAAAUUUUCUACUUAAGUAGGUAGUUGUAGCCAGAGAAUCAUUCGCUAAAGAGUUGGUAAGAUUGCAUGAGAAAAUAUGGGCAAGAUGUUUGGCUAAUAAAGUAUCAUAUAAAAA